GGGGGAACGAACGGGAAUGGAUGAGGAUUUGCCAUUGUCAAGACCUAGGAGGCUGCGAGGAAGAGGAAGAUGCCCCAGGACACUGAUGCAGCAGGAGCUGAGCAUGCAGAGCAGGGAGGACAAAUGCCCGUGGCAGAACCUGGUGGAAGAGGCUGUUUUGAGUGGCUCCACGGCACAGGAAGCCAACGGGGAGGAAAAGCCCCGGAGAUGCCGCACGAGGAGGGGCUGCAAACUCAGCUGACGGGGAUCUGAUGGGGAAAGAGCCAGCCUAGGCCAGGAAGGCGGCUGGAGAUGGAGCCAGAGCUCGGAGCUGGUGCUCCACGAGCAGCUCCAUGAUGGGGAGAAGCCCCACUCGUUCAGGGAGGAACUGCAACCUGAUCAGGCACCAUAGGACCCACACUGGGGAACGGCCCUACACGUGUGUGGGGUGUGGGAAGAGCUUCAGCUAGAACUCCACACUGAUCACGCACCAGAGGACCCACACUGGGGAGAGGCCCUACGAGUGUGAUAAAUGCAGGAAGAGUUUUCUGACCAGCUCCCAUCUCGUCCGGCACUAUCAGAGUCACACAGAGGAGAGGCCCUUCCGCUGCCCCGACUGUGGGAAAGGAUUCAAGCACAACUCCAUCCUUGUGGAGUACCGUCGCAUCCAUACUGGGGCGAGGCCCUAUGAGUGUCCCCAGUGUGGGAAGAGCUUCUCCACCAGCUCUACCUUGAACGAACACCAACGGAGGCACCAGUAAGGGAAGCCCUGCGAGUUCCUCGAGUGCCGGACGAGCUUCGUGCGCUGCUCCCGCUCCAUUCCCCACUGGAGGAGGCACUUUGGGCACAGCCCUGGUGACCCACAUUCCCUGUGACCCAUUUUGGGAACACACCUGUCUGCUUCUCCUUUUGGUUUGGCCUUAAUUUUCUUCUGCUUCAUCUUCAUCCCUUAAAAAGUGCCAAAACAGAGUUAAAUGAAUGAAAUUGAUCAAAGAUAUCUAAAGUCCCACCAUUUCACAGGUGUUUGAGGGGGAAUUUAGGAUUUGGGGACACAUUCUGUGUGGAGUGCCCCUGUUGCUAAUAGGCGGGAAUUUGAUCUCCCCCUUCUUGUGUUGCUAAGAACUCCUCCCUUGACCCAAACCUGAAGUCCACCCCUGUGAUACCCUAUAAAAACCCCAUGGCCCUGCCUUUGCCCUGUCUUUUGGGAGUCAGAAAUGGAUUCUGGAGCUUUCUGGAACCCAGACCCGUCUCAUUUAUUCCUGGCAGCGGCAGCUGCAGCCUCCCUGGACACCAUGAACUCUGGAGAAUGGAGGCAGCCAGUGAGGACAGGUCCUGGAUUGCAAGAUCAGUAUGUGUUCUGUUUGCCAUCUGUCAGAGGUGGGGCAGUUAUCUUCUGUUUAUUGGGCAGUUUAUCUCUUCCACAACCAAUCCUUUCUCCAACAGAUAUCUUCUGAUAAUGGAUGGGCCAUAAAUUAUUAAUUAUCUGCUGUUAAUGGGCCAUUGAGUGUCCCUGCAUGGCUGAUAAAAUGACAUUAUGCCAUUGGGUGAUGCUCCACCCAGAAGAGGAGCCAAGCAUUCCUACCUGGAUAGAAUCUGAGGUUUGGAACACCACAGCAACCUUUUCCCACUGGAUUGCCAGAGGAUCAGCCUUUUUCCACUGGAUUGCCAAAGGAUCAGCCUUCUUCCACUGGAUUCUCAGAGGAGCAGCUGUCUUCUCCACUGGAUUCCCAGAGGAAGACCAGACCCAUCUGCAGCACUCCUGGACCUUCAGAGGAAAACUCCACCCUUCUCCAGGGUUCCUGCUCCAACAGAACCAUCCCUGGCACUGCAGGAGGGCUGCAGCCACCAUGGAAUGGGACUGUGCCACCACCCUGACCCACAGGGUGUCAGGUCCUGUUCUGACUCUGUUAGUGGCUUUUUUUUCUUUGUACUACUGCGUUUGUAUUUUUAAUUUUUCCUAAAAGAGGAACUGUUAUUCCUGCUCCCAUAUCUUUGCCUGAGAGCUCCUUAAUUUCAAAAUUAUAACAAUUCAGAGGGAGGGGGUUUGCAUUUUCCAUUCCGGGGGAGGCUCCUGCUUUCCUUAGCAGACACCUGGCUUUUCAAAUACAGACAAUAACAAAGUUACUUUAUCACCACAGAUAUAAAAUCCAUCUUAAUAUCUGCAAAAAGCCAAUAUUAAGUGUCCGUAACAAUAAACCUCUUGCUGAGUGAUGGUAGAUGUCAAAGUAACUUUGUUCUAAAGAUGUACCUUUUAUUUCUUUUGUUAAUUAAGCUUAGUGAAAGAUACAUGCUGAUGGCAGACGGUGUCAAAUGCCUUAGCAGGAGUAACUAUGACUCUCUUAAGAUGAGGGCAUAGUUACUAACUGGGCAUAGCUGCGGAAGUCGCACCUGCUCGUGGUCCCGCAGGAUACCCUUGUGGUAACUGAGUCGACUUCUGCCCCAGUGUGAGAGAGGGCGCAUAUCAGCCCUCCCUGACGUUGGA